GAUGAACGCUGGCGGCGUGCCUAAUACAUGCAAGUCGAGCGAACGGACGAGAAGCUUGCUUCUCUGAUGUUAGCGGCGGACGGGUGAGUAACACGUGGAUAACCUACCUAUAAGACUGGGAUAACUUCGGGAAACCGGAGCUAAUACCGGAUAAUAUUUUGAACCGCAUGGUUCAAAAGUGAAAGACGGUCUUGCUGUCACUUAUAGAUGGAUCCGCGCUGCAUUAGCUAGUUGGUAAGGUAACGGCUUACCAAGGCAACGAUGCAUAGCCGACCUGAGAGGGUGAUCGGCCACACUGGAACUGAGACACGGUCCAAACUCCUACGGGAGGCAGCAGUAGGGAAUCUUCCGCAAUGGGCGAAAGCCUGACGGAGCAACCCCGCGUGAGUGAUGAAGGUCUUCGGAUCGUAAAACUCUGUUAUUAGGGAAGAACAUAUGUGUAAGUAACUGUGCACAUCUUGACGGUACCUAAUCACAAAGGCACGGCUAACUACGUGCCCGCAGCCCCGGUAAUACGUAGGUGGCAAGCGUUAUCCGGAAUUAUUGGGCGGUAAAGCGCGCGUAGGCGGUUUUUUAGUCUGAUGUGAAAGCCCACGGCUCAACCGUGGAGGGCCAUUGGAAACUGGAAAACUUGAGUGCAGAAGAGGAAAGUGGAAUUCCAUGUGUAGCGGUGAAAUGCGCAGAGAUAUGGAGGAACACCAGUGGCGAAGGCGACUUUCUGGUCUGUAACUGACGCUGAUGUGCGAAAGCGUGGGGAUCAAACAGGAUUAGAUACCCUGGUAGUCCACGCCGUAAACGAUGAGUGCUAAGUGUUAGGGGGUUUCCGCCCCUUAGUGCUGCAGCUAACGCAUUAAGCACUCCGCCUGGGGAGUACGACCGCAAGGUUGAAACUCAAAGGAAUUGACGGGGACCCGCACAAGCGGUGGAGCAUGUGGUUUAAUUCGAAGCAACGCGAAGAACCUUACCAAAUCUUGACAUCCUUUGACAACUCUAGAGAUAGAGCCUUCCCCUUCGGGGGACAAAGUGACAGGUGGUGCAUGGUUGUCGUCAGCUCGUGUCGUGAGAUGUUGGGUUAAGUCCCGCAACGAGCGCAACCCUUAAGCUUAGUUGCCAUCAUUAAGUUGGGCACUCUAAGUUGACUGCCGGUGACAAACCGGAGGAAGGUGGGGAUGACGUCAAAUCAUCAUGCCCCUUAUGAUUUGGGCUACACACGUGCUACAAUGGACAAUACAAAGGGCAGCGAAACCGCGAGGUCAAGCAAAUCCCAUAAAGUUGUUCUCAGUUCGGAUUGUAGUCUGCAACUCGACUACAUGAAGCUGGAAUCGCUAGUAAUCGUAGAUCAGCAUGCUACGGUGAAUACGUUCCCGGGUCU
rnacentral:rRNA from 1 species